rnacentral:rRNA from 1 species
GGGCGGCAGGGUGCAGCAAUGCAUCUGAGAGCGGCGGACUGGUGAGUAACGCGUGGGUGACCUACCCUAAGGCUGGGGAUAGCCACUAGAAAUAGUGGGUAAUACCGAAUGUGGUUACCGUGCUGUGGCAUGGUAAAGAAAGGAGCUUCGGCUCCGCCUUGGGAUGGGCCCGCGUCCCAUUAGCUGGAUGGCGGGGUAAGAGCCUACCAUGGCGAUGAUGGGUAGCCGGCCUGAGAGGGUGAACGGCCACACUGGGACUGAGAUACGGCCCAGACUCCUACGGGAGGCAGCAGCUAAGAAUAUUCCGCAAUGGACGAAAGUCUGACGGAGCGACGCCGCGUGGAUGACGAAGGCCGAAAGGUUGUAAAGUCCUUUUGUUGCUGAAGAAUAAGUGGGGGAGGGAAUGCCCCUAUGAUGACGUUAGGCAAUGAAUAAGCCCCGGCUAAUUACGUGCCAGCAGCCGCGGUAACACGUAAGGGGCGAGCGUUGUUCGGAAUUAUUGGGCGUAAAGGGCGCGUAGGCGGUUAUGUAAGCCUGGCGUGAAAGGUUCCGGCUUAACCGGGAGACUGCGUUGGGAACUGUGUAACUAGAGUCAUGGAGGGGGAGUUGGAAUUCCAGGUGUAGGGGUGAAAUCUGUAGAUAUCUGGAAGAACACCGGUGGCGAAGGCGAAC